GUCUUUUUGAUUAUAAUUUAAAGUCUAACCUGCCCACUGAAUAUUUUGAAGGGCCGCGGUAUUUUGACUGUGCAAAGGUAGCAUAAUCAUUAGUCUUUUAAUUGGAGGCUUGUAUGAAUGGUUGGAUGAGGUAUUAACUGUCUCAAUUUAAUAAAUAAUAGAAUUUUAUUUUUAAGUUAAAAAGCUUAAAUUUUAUUAAAAGACGAGAAGACCCUAUAGAUCUUUAUAAUUAAUUUUAUAAUAAUUUUUUAGAUUAAAUUUAUUUUUAUAAGAUAAAUUAUUAUAUUGGGGUGAUAAAAAAAUUUAUAAAACUUUUUUUAUAUUAAAACAAUGAUAUUUGAUUAAUUGAUCCAUUUUUUGUGAUUAUAAGAUUAAGUUACCUUAGGGAUAACAGCGUAAUUUUUUUGGAGAGUUCAUAUCGAUAAAAAAGAUUGCGACCUCGAUGUUGAAUUAAAGGUUGAUUUUAGGUGUAGAAGUUUAAAAUUUUGGUCUGUUCGACCAUUAAAUC
rnacentral:rRNA from 1 species